GAUGAACGCUGGCGGCGUGCCUAAUACAUGCAAGUCGAACGAACAGACGCGGAGCUUGCUGCUCUGACGUUAGCGGCGGACGGGUGAGUCACACGUGGAUAACCUACCUAUCAGACUGGGAUCACUUCGGGAAACCGGCGCUAAUACCGGAUAAUCUAUUGAACCGCAUGGUUCGAUAGUGAAAUACGGUUUUUCUGUCACUUAUCGCUGGAUCCGCGCCGCAUUAGCUAGUUGGUAAGGUCACGGCUUACCAAGGCAAGGAUGCGUAGCCGACGUGAGAGGGUGAUCGGCCACAUGGGAACGGAGACACGGUCCAGAGUACUAAGGGAGGCAGCAGUAGGGAAUCUUCCGCAAUGGGCGAAAGCUUGACGGAGCAACGCCGCGUGAGUGAUGAAGGUCUCCGGAUCGUAAUACUCGGUUAUGAGGGAAGAACAAAUGUGUAAGUAAAUAUGCACGUCUUGACGGUACCUAAUAAGAAAGCCACGGCUAACUACGUG
rnacentral:rRNA from 1 species